rnacentral:rRNA from 1 species
UACGAAGGGGGCUAGCGUUGCUCGGAAUGACUGGGCGUAAAGGGCGCGUAGGCGGAUGGCACAGUCAGAUGUGAAAUUCCCGGGCUUAACCUGGGGGCUGCAUUUGAUACGUGUGAUCUAGAGUGAGGAAGAGGGUCGUGGAAUUCCCAGUGUAGAGGUGAAAUUCGUAGAUAUUGGGAAGAACACCAGUGGCGAAGGUGGCGACCUGGUCCUUGACUGACGCUGAGGCGCGAAAGCGUGGGGAGCAAACAGG